GUCGACGGGAGAAUUGCUAGCUUGCUAAUAAUUCUCUAGUGGCGCACGGGUGAGUAACACGUGAGUAACCUGCCCCCAAGAGUGGGAUAGCCCCGGGAAACUGGGAUUAAUACCGCAUAAAAUCGCAAGAUUAAAGCAGCAAUGCGCUUGGGGAUGGGCUCGCGUCCUAUUAGUUAGUUGGUAAGGUAACGGCUCACCAAGGCGAUGACGGGUAGCCGGUCUGAGAGGAUGUCCGGCCACACUGGAACUGAGACACGGUCCAGACACCUACGGGUGGCAGCAGUCGAGAAUCAUUCACAAUGGGGGAAACCCUGAUGGUGCGACGCCGCGUGGGGGAAUGAAGGUCUUCGGAUUGUAAACCCCUGUCAUGUGGGAGCAAAUUAAAAAGAUAGUACCACAAGAGGAAGAGACGGCUAACUCUGUGCCAGCAGCCGCGGUAAUACAGAGGUCUCAAGCGUUGUUCGGAAUCACUGGGCGUAAAGCGUGCGUAGGCGGUUUCGUAAGUCGUGUGUGAAAGGCGGGGGCUCAACCCCCGGACUGCACAUGAUACUGCGAGACUAGAGUAAUGGAGGGGGAACCGGAAUUCUCGGUGUAGCAGUGAAAUGCGUAGAUAUCGAGAGGAACACUCGUGGCGAAGGCGGGUUCCUGGACAUUAACUGACGCUGAGGCACGAAGGCCAGGGGAGCGAAAGGGAUUAGAUACCCCUGUAGUCCUGGCAGUAAACGG
rnacentral:rRNA from 1 species